UACGGAGGGUGCAAGCAUUAAUCGGAUUUACUGGGCGUAAAGGGCGCGUAGGCGGAUCUACAAGUCAAAUGUGAAAUUCCGGAGCUCAACUUCGGAGCGGCAUUUGAAACUGUAGGUCUAUAGAGGGAUGGCGGAGAAAAUGGAAUUCCACAUGUAGCGGUGAAAUGCGUAGAUAUGUGGAAGAACACCGGUGGCGAAAGCGGUUUUCUAGCUAUUACCUGACGCUGAGGCGCGAGAGCAUGGGGAGCAAACAGG
rnacentral:rRNA from 1 species